AUUGAACGCUGGCGGCAGGCCUAACACAUGCAAGUUGAGCGGUAACAGGAAAUAGCUUGCUAUUUUGCUGACGAGCGGCGGACGGGUGAGUAACGCGUAGGAAUUUGCCCAGUAGUGGGGGAUAGCCCGGAGAAAUUCGGAUUAAUACCGCAUACGCCCUAAGGGGGAAAGCAGGGGAUCUUCGGACCUUGCGCUAUUGGAUAAGCCUGCGUGAGAUUAGCUAGUUGGUAAGGUAACGGCUUACCAAGGCAACGAUGUCUAGGGGGUCUGAGAGGAUUAUCCCCCACACUGGUACUGAGACACGGACCAGACUCCUACGGGAGGCAGCAGUGAGGAAUAUUGGUCAAUGGACGCAAGUCUGAACCAGCCAUGCCGCGUGCAGGAAGACGGCCCUACGGGUUGUAAACUGCUUUUAUAUAGGAAUAAACCCCCUGAACGUGUUCGGGGCUGAAGGUACUAUAUGAAUAAGGAUCGGCUAACUCCGUGCCAGCAGCCGCGGU
rnacentral:rRNA from 1 species